AUCCGGAUGACGAAUCCCAAAUAGGACGAAAUGCGCAUUCUGAAU
rnacentral:hammerhead_ribozyme from 1 species